GUUUUUAAUCAUUGGAAAUGUGAUAGUUCGGUCUGCGAAUCAUCGGAUAAUCUACUUCAUUUGUAAUUAAAAACGAAAACAAUGUAAUUCUGUUUUGUUUUAAUCACGUGUUCAUUCAAUACAAUUCAUUAAAUAUAUGAAAAAUAUAUGUUCCAGAUAGUAAGUCAUUAUGAAAGUUGUUGUAAAUAUACAUCACAGUAUAUAAUAUAAAAAUAAUAAAUUAUUUUGAAAUUAGUGUAACCCUCUGUAGAGUUCUCUAUUUUUAACUUAGACUACUAGGCUAUAAUGUGGUUGGCUCUGCCGUCGUGCCUCUGCAGAUGCCUUGUACUUUUUAAUGUAUCAGUGUGUUUAUUAUUUAUUGUCGACACUGCCGUGCUAGUUCUAGUUUGUAGAAUGCAAAUCAAGAGUUCUACUGAAAACCUGAACAUACAGAACUGUUCUGAAUAGAGUUUGUUAGAGAAAAACGUGCUGUGUCUGCUGCCACAGAAAAGAAACCCAGUCCCGGUCUGUGUGGCGGCGCUGCGGCGUCUUGAGCUCUGCCAGCAGUCGCCUGCACUGUCCGCAGCUAGCUGGCUAGCAGCUAACUUUAGGAGAGAGCGCUGACUCUUUUUUUCUCUCUCUCUUUUUUCUUUCUUUCUUUCUCUUUCUCUUUAUUUCUUCAUUUAUUCUCUCUUAUUUCUCUUCUUCUUUUCUUUUUUUCCUUCUGUUUACCCGCGACUCCAGCUCGCAGCCCCGAAACGGAUGCGGGAGGCCUCGGGUUUUAGGCUGACUCGAAGCUGCUGACUUGCUGCUGUUCACAGUCUGGAGCAGCUCCGCUGUGAAGAACCGUCACAUGGACAGGGACCUUUUCUUUUCUGUGGCAGCAAACACAGUAACUGUUAUACUGCAGCCUGAGCUCAGCUGACACUUUAUGGCUGACUGAAGUAACGUCAGGUGUUUGUCUGUGUGUCUGUGUGUGUGUGUGUGCUGGCAGGGCGUGGCCUCCGGCUCUCCAGAAGCUUCUCACCGUGGGUUUGCCACUGCUCGUCAGCCAGCCGUCCUUGCCAGGCUGCCUGCUCACGGACUGUCUGCCUUGGCCUGGGAAUCAUCCUCGCUUCAGGGAGCUUCCCUCCACACACCUGGUUACACUUUCGACUCGUUCAUACAAUAAACCACAGACUAACCACUGA